CCUUUUUUCUUGUCCUCUGACGCCCCACCAGCUUCACUGCUCCUCCGACUCCAACUAUUGCACAAAUGCCAAGAGAUUUUCAUACAACUUUGGGACGAAGGUGACUCCAAAGCAAUACCCCUGGAGGUGGGCAGGAGUCCACAGACAUGUAGAUUGCAACACAGCUCUGCCGAACCCGGUGUUGUCGCCAGCCUGCUGAGUGAUGGCAUAACGAGCAGUAAAUGCGUGGACUGAGCACCACAUUGCAGCUCUACAGACAUCCUGGAUAGGGAUGUGUGCCUGGAAGGCCGCCAAAGACACCUGAGCUCUCGUCGAGUGGGUUCUGACAAUUGGCAGCAGUGGAACCCUCCGCCAAGUCGUAACAGGUCUGUAUGCAUGCGGUGAUCCAAUUGGAAAUCCUCUUCAAGGACACCGUGUGACCCUUCAUCCUAUCCACUGUAGCGAUUUACGGAAAGGCUUGGUACGUUCUAAGUAAAAAGCCCAGGCCCUCUGGACGUCCAGGGCAUGAAAAUGCCUCUCUUCACUGGUCUUGUGCGGUUUGGCACAGAACACCAGGAGGAAGAUGUCUUGGUUCAUAUGGAAGAUGGAGACCACCUUUGGCAGGAAGGCCAGGUGGGGCUGCAACUGAACCUUAUCUUUGCAGAAGAUACUGUGUACUGCAGUUCUGAGUCUCGCUGGCAUCACCACCACAAGGAACGCGACCUUCCAUGACAGAUGGGGAAGGGCCCAAUGAGCCUAGAAAGGACCACUGCAGGACAGAAGCCAGCACUUGCGGGAAUCCCAAGAAUCUGACCGUCAUGUCAUAGGAGAACAACGUCUGUCCUUGGAUCGGCGGGUAAAAAUCGGAGAUGGCUGCAAGAUGCACUCUAAUGGAAACAUGUGCCAGGCCCUGGUUCCUCAAAUGGACAGGUAGUCCAGGACAGCCUGUAUGGAGGAACAUGAGGGAGAGACGCCUCGUUUGGAUGCCCAGCAGGAAAAACCUCAUCCACUUGAGCGGGAAAAACCUCAUCCCCUUGGCCAGGGUCCUGCUUAUGAGUGGAAUCAGAGGGAAUGCGUAUAUCAGACUCCCUGACCAUGAGAGGAGGCAUCAGAGAGGGGGUCCUUGCUCAGACCUGUCGAGAACAAAACUGGUGGCAUUUCGUGUUCUGUCUGGUAGCGAACAAGUCCACUUGGGGAAUUCCCAACCUUUGGAAGAUGAUGCAGGCUACCUCUGGAUGGAGCAACCACUCGUAGUGAGAGGAGAAGUCCCUGCUGAGCUGGUCUGCCAGCAUAUUCCUGAUGCCGGGAAUGUGACAAGCUUCCAGGUGGAUUUCGUGGCUGAUGCAGAAGUCCCACAGACAACAUGCCUCCUGACAGAGAGCCAACAAGCGCGCUCCCCCUUGCCUGUUGAUGUAGAACAUUGAGGCUGUGUUGUCCGUCAGGACUCACACCACCUUGCCCGACAAGUGGGGUAAGAAGACUCCUCAUGCCAGCCAGACUGCUUGGAGCUCUUUGACAUUUAUGUGUAACCAUGCCUCCUCUAGGGACCACAUUCCCUGUGUCUGGAGGUUGCCGAGAUGUGCCCCACAGCCGAGGUUUGAGGUGUCUGACUCCAACUCAAUGGAGUGAGGAGGGCUGUCAAACGAAACCCCUUCCAGGACUGUCCUGCGAUCGGUACACCAUUGCAGUGAGUAGGCCCAGAGAGCACCAUGUGGCUUGAAGCACCAUGACAUCCCUUCGGACUUGAGACCCGGAGUUGCUCUUGAUGAGCCAGUCGUCAAGGUACAGGUAGAUCUGUAUACCCUGGAGUCUGAGGUAAGCCGCUACCACCAACAUGUACUUGGUAAACACCCUCGGUGCUGUCACCAGGCUGAAUGGGAGGAUCGUAAAGUGGUAGUAGUGUGGUCCCACCAUAAACUGGAGGAAGCGUCUGUGUCCUUGAAAGAUCGUUAUGUGGAAGUGUGCGUCCUUCAAAUUGAGGGCAGCAUACCAGACUCCUGGAUGCAGGGUGGGGAUAAUAGAAGCCAGAGAGACCUUGUGGAACUUUAGCUUCUGUAGGUACUUGUUGAGGUCUCACAGAUCCAGGAUGGGCCGUAGACUGCCUUGGCCUUUUCGAUUAAAAAGUACUGGGAAUAGAACCCCUUGUUCCUGUACUGACGAGGAACUUCUUCCACCGUAUCCAGCUAUAGUAACCCCUUUACCUCCUGCGUGAGGAAACUCUCAUGAGAGGGGUGCCUGAAGAGGGACGGGGAAGGCGGAUGGGAAGUGUGGGGGAGAGAGGAACUGGAGGGUAUAACCCUGUUCCACUGUGCUGAGGACCCAGUAGUCCAAAGUUAUAGCGGUCCAUGCCGGGAGGAAAGGGGAAAGGCAGUCAGAGAACACUGGGAAAGACGGAUCCGGGGAAUAGUCUGGUAGGUUGCCCUCAGGAACACCCUCAAAACGACCAUUUGGCCCCCUGCUUAUUAUGGGUCAAGCCCGACUGCGCAGAUGGUGAAGGUGGGUGGCUCGGGCGGCGCUUGUAACCCUUGGCUCAUUUAUGGGGCUGGUCCUGCCGAGGCUGGCUCCCCGGCCCUUAAGCUGCUGCGGUUUGAACCACUUACGCACCAGGGCUGGGACCUAGAGACCCAGGGUUUUCGGGGAGGUGUGGGAGUCCUUAAGACCAUGCAACUUGCUGUCUGUUUGCUCCGCAAAUAGGGCCCCUCCACCAAAGGACAGGUCCAGCAAUGACUCAGUAGACAACCCGACAGAAGCAGCCAAGAGACUCGCCGCAUGGAGAUAGCGGAAGCCCGGGGCGGGCAGCAGCAUCAGCAGCAUCCGAUGCCAUCUAGAGGGCUGCCCUCAUCUCAGUAGUGCCCUUAUCAAGGAUCACUCGGAACUCCUUCUUGGAAGCCUCAGGGAGCGACCCUUCGAACUUGGCCAUGGCUUGCCACAUAUUGAAGUCUUAUCAGCAGGAGGGCUUGGUGGUUGGCCACUCUCAGCUAAGACUGGAAGACAAAUAAACCUUACAUCCAAAGAGA